GGGCCUGUCACCGUCCGCUGGCGACGUCGCGGCUGGAGUUGAACCUGGUGCGGCUGCUUUGUCGCUGUGAGUCGAUGGCGGCCGAAAAACGAGAACCGGACGAGUGGCGUCUGGAGAAGGUGAGGGAAUCCCACGCCGCCGCAGAGUCCUGGAGCCCUAAGGGCGGGUGAUCUAAUCCACAGGCUACUGUCUCCGCCCCUUCUGGUCGGCGGCGACACGCCCCUCGUGCGUAGACCCCUGACGUCCCGGUUUCUCUCCCUACGGCCUCACGCACAGGCCACGCCCUCUCGAUUCUACGUCUUCGCCUUUGCCCCCUCCCCUCUCUGGCUCCUCCUCUCCCGGUCCCACCCCUCUCCCUAGUUUGCUCCUGCCUUGGGGUACUGGCCUGGCUGACGUUGUACCUUCCUUCCCAGUAUGUGGGUGCCCUGGAAGACAUGCUGCAGGCCCUGAAAGUCCAAGCAAGGUGAGUGUGGGGGACCGAGACGCCUCCUCCCACGCUGCCACAGCAGCAGGUUGACUUUGUCCUGCUGCUUUUCAGUAAACCGGCGUUGCUCUAAGGACCAGCUGCCUGCUGGGAGUCCUUUCUGGGGCUGCGGUUCCCAGACUGUGAAAGAGCAGGGGAAACUGAGUCCCCAGUAGAACUGAGGGUGGUGCCAUGGCCCUGGGAUCCUUGGGAAGUGCCAUGUGGAUGUCUAUAUCUCCCUGUCACUACUGGGGAUCCACAAAUGUGGGGUCAGCAGUGUGAAGGGGCCUAGACCUGCAGAUGAGAAGCAGUCAGCGUCCGAGCUAGACCUCGUCCUCCAGAGGCACCAGGGCCUCCAGGAAAAGCUGGCUGAGGAGAUGCUAGGCUUGGCCCGCAGCCUGAAGACCAACACACUGGCUGCCCAGAGUGUCAUCAAGAAGGACAACCAGACCCUGUCACAUUCGCUCAAGAUGGCAGACCAGAACCUGGAGAAGCUGAAGCUGGAGUCAGAGCGGCUGGAGCAGCACGCACAGAAGUCGGUGAACUGGCUGCUGUGGGCCAUGCUCAUCGUCGUGUGCUUCGUGUUCAUCAGCAUGAUCCUGUUCAUACGCAUCAUGCCCAGACUGAAAUAAAACAACACCCGCCCGCCAA
rnacentral:lncRNA from 1 species